rnacentral:lncRNA from 1 species
GGAGGGGCUUCUCCUGGGGUCACCUUCUCAAGAAUCAGAGAAUCAGAGAAUCACAGUCAGAGAAUCACAGUCAUAGAAUCACAGAAUCACAGAGUCAGAGAAUCACAGUCAGAGAAUCAGAGAAUCACAGAAUCACAGUCACAGAAUCAGAGAAUGACAGAAUCAGAGAAUCACAGUCACAGAAUCACAGAAUCAGUCAAUCACAGAAUCAGAGAAUCACAGUCAUAGAAUCACAGUCAGAGAAUCACAGAAUCAGGGAAUCAGAGAAUCACAGAAUCACAAAAUCACAGAAUCACAAAAUCACAGAAUCAGAGAAUCACAGACUCACAGAAUCAUAGAAUCACAGUCACAGAAUCACAGACUCACAGACACAGUCACAGAAUCACAGAAUCACAGUCAUAGAAUCAGAGAAUCAGAGAAUCACAGACUCACAGACUCUCAGAAUCACAGAAUCAGAGAAUCACAGACUCACAGAAUCACAAUCACAGAAUCAUAGAAUCACAGUCAUAGAAUCAUAGAAUCAGAGAAUCACAGAAUCACAGAAUUACAGAGUCACAGAAUCACGGAAUCACAGAAUCAGAGAAUCACAGAAUCAGAGUCAUAGAAUCAGAGAAUCAGAGAAUCACAGAAUCACAGAACACAGAAUUACAGAAUCACAGUCACAGAAUCAGAGAAUCAGAGAAUCACAGAAUCAGAAUCACAGAAUCACAGUCACAGAAUCAGAGAAUCACAGUCAGAGAAUCACAGUCAGAGAAUCACAGUCAUAGAAUCACAGAAUCACAGUCAUAGAAUCACAGACUCACAGAAUCACAGAAUCACAGUCAUAGAAUCAGAGAAUCAGAGAAUCACAGACUCACAGAAUCACAAAAUCACAGAAUCACAGAAUCACAGUCAUAGAAUCACAGACUCACAGACUCACAGAAUCAGUCAUAGAAUCACAGAAUUAGAGAAUCAGUAUCACAGAAUCAGAGAAUCAGAGAAUCACAGAAUCAGAAUCAUAGAAUCAGAGAAUCAGAGUCAGAGAAUCAGAGAAUCAGAGAAUCACAGAAUCAGAAUCACAGUCAUAGAAUCACAGAAUCACAGAAUCACAGAAUCAGAGAAUCACAGAAUCAGAAUCACAGUCACAGAAUCACAGAAUCAGAGAAUCACAGACUCACAGAAUCACAAUCACAGAAUCAUAGAAUCACAGUCAUAGAAUCAGAAUCAUAGAAUCAGAGAAUCACAGAAUUACAGAGUCACAGAAUCACGGAAUCACAGAAUCAGAGAAUCACAGAAUCACAGUCAGAGAAUCAGAGAAUCACAGAAUCACAGUCAUAGAAUCAGAGAAUCAGAGAAUCAGUCACAGAAUCACAGAAUCAGAGAAUCAGAGAAUCACAGUCAUAGAAUCACAGACGCACAGAAUCAGAGAAUCACAGUCAUAGAAUCAGAGAAUCAGAGAAUCACAAAAUCACAAUCACAGAAUCACAGUCAUAGAAUCAGAGAAUCACAGAAUCAGAGAAUCACAGAAUCACAGACUCACAAUCACAGAAUCAGAGAAUCACAGUCACAAAAUCACAGAAUCAGAGAAUCACAGAAACAGGGAAUCACAGAAUCACAGAAUCAGAGAAUCCCAGAAUCAGCUGGGUUGGGAGGGACCUCUGAGAUCACCCAGUCCAACCCUUGAUCCAACCCCGCCGUGGUUCCCAGCCCAUGGCACUGAUGCCACAUCCAGUCUGUCCUUAAACACCUCCAGGGAUGGAGAAUCCACCCCCUCCCUGGGCAGACCAUUCCAAGGGCUGAGCACCCUCUCUGGAAA